GAAAGUUCCACGGGUUAGCUAAACUUCAGCUAACGUUAGCAAACAUUAGCUGACACAAGCUAACGUCAGCUAACGUUAGCUGACAGUGACUAACGUUAGCAGUCGAAACGUCCACAAACGUGUUCGAACUCCGCAGAAAGCCACAGCGGGUCAAGGAUGUCCUGCUGAUGGAGCAGUUCUGACCGACGGUGGCAGGUGGCACUGAGACAAGAGAGGAGACGACUGAGCUGAAGCUGUGACCUCAGAGCAUCCUGCCCUCUGAUUGGUGGAGCCCGGUUCUUGUUCCCAGCUGUGAAACUUAUGACCAUGAACAUACAUCUCAUGUGUGACCGGCCGAUGAUCCACGUCUUCCUGGGGGCUCCUCCUCCGUCGUCUGGCCCGAUCUCGCUUUCUGAAGCUGGUGAGGAGAGUGAGCGCCGUCCCCCUGCCGGGUGGGGACACCUGGAGCUCACCUGGACGGACGGACGCCUGAGGCCCGUCACAGAUCAAACACCUGCAGAGAGACUCACGAGCCCAGAACCAGAACCUGAAGAGGAAGAGCGAUGUUCGGCUUUGGUUCACGAGUAUCUGGAUGGCUGUUUCCCUGCAGCUCAACCAGAACCAGAACCUCCAGAACCAGAACCUCCAUAUCGCAGCAGACACCAGCCGUCAGCAGCCGUCCCUCCUCUUUGCACUCAGACUCAGUACCUCACCACCUGGACGCUGAGUCAGGCCUUGAUCCUGAGAGGCCGGCGCAGUACCAAAUCAACAAGCAGCCCUGAUAAAGCCCCGCCUCCUCAACGCGACCAGACGCCCCCCUCCGCCUGCUGCAGCACCCUGGAGCUCUUCAGCCCCCUCCCCCCGUCACCUGCUGAGCUCCUCUGCUCUGGCCCGAGUGCGGAGGAAGGGGGUGUCGUCCUCCAGUCCACCGCCGACGGCCUGCUUUGCUCCCAGGAAGCAGAGUCCUCAACCGCUCUCGAUCCGCCCGCCAAAUCCCCUGAUUUAAAGAAAGCUCGGCUCUCCGAAGGCUCCAGGAGCGAGGCGCCGUCAGACCGCACCGCAGCCGGGCUCCGGCGUCCUACCACGUCCCUGGUCCAUUGUCACAACCCAGGGGUAAGAUACUCGGUGCUUGUGGCAGUGGUUCAUCCCUGUCACCUGAAAGAGAUCAAGGUGAAGUCGGGGCCGUCGACGGGAACCUUCGUCCCUCUGGCGUCCAUCGUGGUGACGGACCAGUCGGGCGUAGACAUGAAGGUGGUGCUGUGGCGGCGGGCGGCAUUCUGGGCGUUGACCGUGAAUCCUGGAGACGUUCUGCUCAUCACAGGGCUGCAGCUGAAUGAAGACCGGUGGCGAGGAGAGACCGUGCUUCAGUCCACCUUCUGCAGCAAACUGCUGAGCCUCGGACAAGUCACCGCCUGCAGCUCGCCACCAGCUCUGCAGCAUGUAGAUGCUCGCUCACUCCGCUCUCUGUGUGGAUUUCUCCGGGAGCGGCGCCCCCUGCUGGUGUCUCUGCCUCGCCGCGCCCCUCAGGACCUGAACCGCCUCCCCUACGCCACCCUGAGGUCACUGCGGGUCAACACGCUGGUCCACGCCCUGCUGCGAGUCACACACACGCACACCAACGCAGAGUGGCGGAGUGAGGCGGAGUCUCGCUUCAGGUCGGCUCUUCAGGUGAAAGCUGUUCUGACUGUGGAGCAGCCGGACGGCAAUCAGGGGGCGCUGCUGCUGUGGGGGGCUGCAGUGGACUGGCUGCCUCGCUUCAACAGAGACAGAGCGGCGGUAUGGGACUUCCACGUCCUCCUGGUGAGGGAGGGUGUGACCUCCGACCUCCCCGAGCUGCACUCGACCUCCUGGAGCUCUGUCCGGGCCCUGGACCCUGGUGACCGGCGGGCGCAGAACUUCUUCGCACCCCGACGCAACCAGACAGGAAAUGGCAGCGGCUGCAGCGUGGAGCUGGACCUUGACACGCUACUGUCGCAGAAACACAGCGGUGACGUGGAGCUCAGAGUCAAGGUCACCGCCUUCCACUUCCUGGACGCUCCUUCCUCCCAUAAUGCACUUCAGCUGGUCCUGGACGGCUCCACUCCGCUGGAUGGAAUCGUGGCGGCGCUGGGCGGAGACGUCAGCUAUACCGGCUGCGGUCGCUGCUCCUCCGAGCUCAGUACUGACGCCAACGGCAUCUACGGCCCGUGUUACCGCUGCCUGCCCCACGUGUCCGUACGACGAUACUACAGGCCCGCCGUGCUGACGGUGAGGGGGAGGAGCUGCAGUCAGGUGUGUGUCCAGGUUCCUCCUGUUCCUCUGCAGAAGAUCCUCGACGCUCCUCCAGAUAAACUGCACAAGAGCUCAGCUCCUGGGUCGGAGGUGAAGCUCAUCCAGGCGGCAGCAGAGAGGAUCCAGAUGCUCGUCGCGCUCCCGAGGAAAACCUUCAUCGUCACCAUCCGGAGCCACUUCCUGUGCGAUGAGAACAGCGUCCCCCUCAGUCAGGACUUUACCCUGCUGGACCUGCAGUUCCCGCCCGAUGACGGGCCGCCGAUCGAUCAGCAGCUGAUGGAUCAAUAAACCCUUUGGGGGGCGAUGAAACCCAAGAAACACAGCGAGGAGCUUCUGCACUGGAGGAACUAUCUCCCUGCUCCCGACUACCAACAAUUCAUCGGUUCCUGGUGUCGGCGGCGGCUACGGCAUGGAGCUGUUGCUGGGGCAGAGAGGCCGGCGGACCGAAUCAGCCUGUGAGAGACAGAGAGAGAGUCACAUGACCACCAAGCUCCACCAACAAUCAGAGACGAUCAGUGACUGUAUAUAAAGACGAUCAAUAACUGAAUAAGGAGGGUGAUUUCUCCAGGGGCCCCGAGGUGACACGGCCCUGAAGAAUCUGAAGAUUGGACGCCCCCCCCCCCGACAGGAACCUCAAUGUGACUCAGCAGAAGAGGCCCACACACACACACACACACACACACACACACACACAGAGGAGUCUGCCAGACGCACCCUCUGAUGCCUCUCCCCUCCUCUGAUUGGUCCGACAGUCGGCGUCUAUUUUUAGACCCAUUUCUUUUCAGCAUUUUCCAGGAUGGAAGCGGCGUGAUGGGCUGCAGUGGGACAUCCAGUCGCCGCAGUAAUCAAUACUGACACACAGACACACACACACACACACACAAACACACACACACAAACACACACACACACACACACACACACACACCUCACUGUCCUGGUUGUUGCAGUUCAGUGGGAUGAGGAUGACCGACGCUAAACUCAUGAAUACAACAGCAUAUGGAUCAAUAAUCCCCCUGCCCCUGAACGCAUCAUGUGAACGCUGGAGAACAAGUUGCUCCACAUCACCUGCCUGAGGAAUCCAGCAGUCGCCUGAUAACUGCACUGUAAGUGUGUGUGUAUGUGUGUGUGUGUUGUUUUCACAUGAAUGUGUUCGGUUUGCUUCAUAACAGCUCUGACAUGAUCGUGUGUAAAACCUGAGCAGCAGCACUUUCCACGUCCCCCCUGACCCCUGACCCCUGCUGACCACUGACCCCUGGCAGACCUAAGUGUCUGCGAGGGCCUGCACUGGUAUGAACAAGAAGUGAACCUCACCAUGCAGAAACUUUACGUCACCAUGACAACGCAGAAAUAUUUUGCUAAAUCUGGUUUGGAACUUUUUAUUUUCCGUGUGUUUCUUUCUUCACACACACACACACACACACACACACACACACACACACAUGUAUUUAUUGUAUGAUGAUGUAUCGUCGACUGAUGUGACUCCUGCUGUCUGUUCACACUCCGACCAGCAGGUGGCAGCAGCUUCACUCGCAUCCAUACACCCGUCAUGCACUGGAGCAGCGUGUGACCCAAUUUAUUUGUUUCUAAUAAAUAUCAGCUGUUGUUAAAUGUUAUUUGAGGACCAAUGUAAUUGAAAAUUAACAACAAAAAAUAUUAAUAAAACAUUGAAAGAUCAUA